AUGCACGCUAGCGGGAGGCCUAACACAUGCAAGCCGAGCGGUAUUUGUUCUUCGGAACAGAGAGAGCGGCGCACGGGUGCGGAACACGUGUGCAACCUGCCUUUAUCUGGGGGAUAGCCUUUCGAAAGGAAGAUUAAUACCCCAUAAUAUAUUGAGUGGCAUCACUUGAUAUUGAAAACUCCGGUGGAUAGAGAUGGGCACGCGCAAGAUUAGAUAGUUGGUGAGGUAACGGCUCACCAAGUCAAUGAUCUUUAGGGGGCCUGAGAGGGUGAUCCCCCACAAUGGUACUGAGACACGGACCAGACUCCUACGGGAGGCAGCAGUGAGGAAUAUUGGACAAUGGGUUAGCGCCUGAUCCAGCCAUCCCGCGUGAAGGACGACGGCCCUAUGGGUUGUAAACUUCUUUUGUAUAGGGAUAAACCUACUCUCGUGAGAGUAGCUGAAGGUACUAUACGAAUAAGCACCGGCUAACUCCGUG
rnacentral:rRNA from 1 species